rnacentral:rRNA from 1 species
UGGGGAAUUUUGGACAAUGGGCGCAAGCCUGAUCCAGCCAUGCCGCGUGUCUGAAGAAGGCCUUCGGGUUGUAAAGGACUUUUGCUAGGGAAGAAAAAGGAGCGGUUAAUACCCGUUUCUGCUGACGGUACCUAAAGAAUAAGCACCGGCUAACUACGUGCCAGCAGCCGCGGUAAUACGUAGGGUGCGAGCGUUAAUCGGAACUACUGGGCGUAAAGCGAGCGCAGACGGUUACUUAAGCAGGAUGUGAAAUCCCCGGGCUCAACCUGGGAACUGCGUUCUGAACUGGGUAGCUAGAGUAUGUCAGAGGGGGGUAGAAUUCCACGCGUAGCAGUGAAAUGCGUAGAGAUGUGGAGGAAUACCGAUGGCGAAGGCAGCCCCCUGGGAUAAUACUGACGUUCAUGCUCGAAAGCGUGGGUAGCAAACAGGAUUAGAUACCCUGGUAGUCCACGCCCUAAACGAUGUCGAUUAGCUGUUGGGCAGCUUGACUGCUUAGUAGCGUAGCUAACGCGUGAAAUCGACCGCCUGGGGAGUACGGUCGCAAGAUUA